GAUGAAGAACGCAGCGAAAUGCGAUAAGUAGUGUGAAUUGCAGAAUUCAGUGAAUCAUCGAAUCUUUGAACGCACAUUGCGCCCCUUGGUAUCCCGAGGGGCAUGCCUGUUCGAGCGUCAUUUCACCACUCAAGCCUGGCUUGGUGUUGGGCGACGUCCUCUUUGGGGACGCGCCUCGAAACGCUCGGCGGCGUGGCUCCGGCUUUAAGCGUAGCAGAAUCUUUCGCUUUGGAAGUCGGGGCCCCGUCUGCCGGAAGACCUGCUCGCAAGGUUGACCUCGGAUCAGGCAGGGAUACCCGCUGAACUUAAGCAUAUCAAUAAGCGGAGGA
rnacentral:misc_RNA from 1 species